GAUAUGUGAAUACAUAGCAUAUCAGAAGGCACACCCGGAGAACUGAAACAUCUUAGUACCCGGAGGAAGAGAAAGAAAAUUCGAUUCCCUUAGUAGCGGCGAGCGAAACGGGAAGAGCCCAAACCAACAAGCUUGCUUGUUGGGGUUGUAGGACACUCUAUACGGAGUUACAAAGGACGACAUUAGACGAAUCAUCUGGAAAGAUGAAUCAAAGAAGGUAAUAAUCCUGUAGUCGAAAAUGUUGUCUCUCUUGAGUGGAUCCUGAGUACGACGGAGCACGUGAAAUUCCGUCGGAAUCUGGGAGGACCAUCUCCUAAGGCUAAAUACUCUCUAGUGACCGAUAGUGAACCAGUACCGUGAGGGAAAGGUGAAAAGCACCCCGGAAGGGGAGUGAAAUAGAACCUGAAACCGUGUGCUUACAAGUAGUCAGAGCCCGUUAAUGGGUGAUGGCGUGCCUUUUGUAGAAUGAACCGGCGAGUUACGAUUUGAUGCAAGGUUAAGCAGUAAAUGUGGAGCCGUAGCGAAAGCGAGUCUGAAUAGGGCGUUUAGUAUUUGGUCGUAGACCCGAAACCAGGUGAUCUACCCUUGGUCAGGUUGAAGUUCAGGUAACACUGAAUGGAGGACCGAACCGACUUACGUUGAAAAGUGAGCGGAUGAACUGAGGGUAGCGGAGAAAUUCCAAUCGAACCUGGAGAUAGCUGGUUCUCUCCGAAAUAGCUUUAGGGCUAGCCUCAAGUGAUGAUUAUUGGAGGUAGAGCACUGUUUGGACGAGGGGCCCCUCUCGGGUUACCGAAUUCAGACAAACUCCGAAUGCCAAUUAAUUUAACUUGGGAGUCAGAACAUGGGUGAUAAGGUCCGUGUUCGAAAGGGAAACAGCCCAGACCACCAGCUAAGGUCCCAAAAUAUAUGUUAAGUGGAAAAGGAUGUGGCGUUGCCCAGACAACUAGGAUGUUGGCUUAGAAGCAGCCAUCAUUUAAAGAGUGCGUAAUAGCUCACUAGUCGAGUGACACUGCGCCGAAAAUGUACCGGGGCUAAACAUAUUACCGAAGCUGUGGAUUGUCCUUUGGACAAUGGUAGGAGAGCGUUCUAAGGGCGUUGAAGCAUGAUCGUAAGGACAUGUGGAGCGCUUAGAAGUGAGAAUGCCGGUGUGAGUAGCGAAAGACGGGUGAGAAUCCCGUCCACCGAUUGACUAAGGUUUCCAGAGGAAGGCUCGUCCGCUCUGGGUUAGUCGGGUCCUAAGCUGAGGCCGACAGGCGUAGGCGAUGGAUAACAGGUUGAUAUUCCUGUACCACCUAUAAUCGUUUUAAUCGAUGGGGGGACGCAGUAGGAUAGGCGAAGCGUGCGAUUGGAUUGCACGUCUAAGCAGUAAGGCUGAGUAUUAGGCA
rnacentral:rRNA from 1 species